rnacentral:rRNA from 1 species
AUUGAACGCUGGCGGCAGGCCUAACACAUGCAAGUCGAACGAGUGGCGGACGGGAGAGUAAUGUCUGGGAAACUGCCCGAGGGAGGGGGAUAACUACUGGAAACGGUAGCUAAUACCGCAUACCAGCGGAUGUGCCCAGCUGGGAGUAGCUAGUAGGUGGGGUAACGGCUCACCGAGGCGACGAUCCCUAGCUGGUCUGAGAGGAUGACCAUCCACACUGGACCUGAGACACGGUCCCGACUCCUACGGGAGGCAGCAGUGGAGAAUAUUGCACAAUGGGCGCAAGCCUGAUGCAGCCAUGCCGCGUGUAUGAAGAAGGCCUUCGGGUUGUAAAGUUCUUGCAGCGAGGAGGCGUUACUCGCAGAAGCAGCACCGGCUAACUCCGUGCCAGCAGCCGCGGUAAUAC